rnacentral:misc_RNA from 1 species
GAUGAAGAACGUAGCGAAAUGCGAUAAGUAAUGUGAAUUGCAGAAUUCAGUGAAUCAUCGAAUCUUUGAACGCACCUUGCGCCCUUUGGCCAUUCCGAAGGGCAUGCCUGUUUGAGUAUCAUGAACACCUCAACUCUCAUGGCUCGCCAUGAUGAGCUUGGAUUUGGGGGUCUUGCUGGCCUGUGGUCGGCUCCUCUCAAAUGGAUCAGCUUGCCAGUGUUUGGUGGCAUCACAGGUGUGAUAACUAUCUGCGCUUAUGGUUUUCCAUCAGAUAACCUUCAGUGAUGGAGGUUCGCUGGAGCUCAUAAACGUCUCCCCUAAGCGGGGACAGCCCUUUGAAUGUUUGAUCUCAAAUCAGGUAGGACUACCCGCUGAACUUAAGCAUAUCAAUAAGCGGAGGA